rnacentral:rRNA from 1 species
GUUACGUACGAAGUAGUUAGGUUUUGUAUCCUGGCUGAGGUAGUAGACGCUUGGGCGGGCGUGCUUAAACACAUGCAAGUCGAACGGAGAUUUAUACGCAGAGGCGUAUUUUCGGUCAAAUCAUGUGUAAUCUUAGUGGCGGACGGGUGAGUAACGCGUGGGUAACCUGCCUUACACUGGGGGGAUAACACUUAGAAAUAGGUGCUAAUACCGCAUAAGCGCACGAAGCCGCAUGGAUUUGUGUGAAAAACUCCCGGUGGUGUAAGAUGGACCCGCGUCUGAUUAGCUUGUUGGCGGGGUAACGGCCCACCAAGGCGACGAUCAGUAGCCGGCCUGAGAGGGUGGACGGCCACAUUGGGACUGAGACACGGCCCAAACUCCUACGGGAGGCAGCAGUGGGGAUAUUGGACAAUGGGGGAACCCUGAUCCAGCGACGCCGCGUGAGUGAAGAAGUAUUUCGGUAUGUAAAGCUCUGUCAGCAGGGAAGAAAGAAAUGACGGUACCUGACCAAGAAGCCCCGGCUAACUACGUG